GAUGACGCUAGCGGCAGGCCUAACACAUCAAGUCGAGGGAGAAGCCCUUCGGGGCAGAAACCGGCGCACGGGUGCGUAACGCGUAUGCAACCUACCUUUCACAGGGGGAUAGCCCGAAGAAAUUUGGAUUAAUACCCCAUAAUAUUAUUGGAUGGCAUCAUUUGAUAAUUAAAAUUACGAUGGUGAAAGAUGGGCAUGCGUCCUAUUAGCUAGUUGGAGUGGUAACGGCACCCCAAGGCUACGAUAGGUAGGGGUCCUGAGAGGGAGAUCCCCCACACUGGUACUGAGACAGGGACCAGACUCCUACGGGAGGCAGCAGUGAGGAAUAUUGGUCAAUGGUCGGAAGACUGAACCAGCCAUGCCGCGUGCAGGAAGAAUGCCUUAUGGGUUGUAAACUGCUUUUAUAUGGGAAGAAUAAGGCGUACGUGUACGCUG
rnacentral:rRNA from 1 species